GGGUGCUGCAUGGCUGUCGUCAGCUCGUGUCCGUGAGAUGUUGGGUUAAGUCCCGCAACGAGCGCAACCCUUGUCCUUAGUUGCCAGCAUUCAGUUGGGCACUCUAAGGAGACUGCCGGUGUUAAACCGGAGGAAGGUGGGGAUGACGUCAAGUCCUCAUGGCCCUUAUGUCCAGGGCUACACACGUGCUACAAUGGCCGGUACAAAGGGCUGCAAGACCGUGAGGUUGAGCGAAUCCCAGAAAGCCGGUCUCAGUUCGGAUUGGAGUCUGCAACUCGACUCCAUGAAGUUGGAAUCGCUAGUAAUCGCGGAUCAGCAUGCCGCGGUGAAUACGUUCCCGGGCCUU
rnacentral:rRNA from 1 species